GCAAUGCCGCGUGAGUGAAGAAGGCCUUCGGGUUGUAAAGCUCUUUUGUCAGGGAAGAAACGGUGGUCGCUAAUAUCGGCUGCUAAUGACGGUACCUGAAGAAUAAGCACCGGCUAACUACGUGCCAGCAGCCGCGGUAAUACGUAGGGUGCAAGCGUUAAUCGGAAUUACUGGGCGUAAAGCGUGCGCAGGCGGUUAUAUAAGUCAGAUGUGAAAUCCCCGGGCUCAACCUGGGAACUGCAUUUGAGACUGUAUAGCUAGAGUGUGUCAGAGGGGGGUAGAAUUCCACGUGUAGCAGUGAAAUGCGUAGAGAUGUGGAGGAAUACCGAUGGCGAAGGCAGCCCCCUGGGAUAACACUGACGCUCAUGCACGAAAGCGUGGGGAGCAAACAGGAUUAGAUACCCUGGUAGUCCACGCCCUAAACGAUGUCUACUAGUUGUCGGGUCUUAAUUGACUUGGUAACGCAGCUAAC
rnacentral:rRNA from 1 species